UUUUUUUACUUAAAAAAAUAUUACAUUUCAAGUACUUAGUUUUAAAAAUGUUUUUGGCUGAUCUUUUUCAUUUUAAAUGAUUUAUUGAUGUUCGGGUCAUUGUAUGUGGCGAUCUAUUUUUUACAGUCUAUGGUCGCGAUCCCAAGGUUCAUUGCGAUCCCAAGGUUCACUGCGGUUUUCCACAAGCCUGUUUCUGCCUAUCACCAUGAGUGAUUCCUUGAUACUCAGAUUGAUAAUCAAGAUCUCAAUUAUAACCUCAAGUCUUGAUGACAGCUUGAUGAUCUCCAAGAAGCACCACCAUGUAAAGAAGGCCAAGACCACUCUGGAAUCAGUCAAGGGUGAAAUGGAGUGAGGCAUACCAGGAUAUGUGUGGUUUUACUCUUGGGAAGGAGGUUGAACAGUUCAAUAUUUCUUCUAUAGGAUUGGAGUGACCAGACAUGCUACUGUAACUCUCAUGGUCAUGUGCUGGAAUUAGCAGAUAUUCAACAAUUUGGCCAUCUCGCUGACCUGUUGAUUUCAGAAGACUGCAACAGCUCUGCAAAGCAAGUUGCAAAACACAAUCCAUGGAACUGGCAGUGACCGGAAACCAAUUGGAAGACUUUGGUCUGUGAUGUAGAGGAGAGGGCAGUAGCAGACGCAAAGACAACAAAAAACAGAAGUGAUAUGGAUGUCUUCGUCAUAUGGCAUGACUCUGUCGAUCCAGCAACAAAGAGGAGGGUGUUCAACAUCAUCCUGCUAGUCAGGAUUCUUCAGGAGAAGCAGCGGAUUAUUGUGGCAGAGAUGGCCAACCACUAUAAAUA
rnacentral:lncRNA from 1 species